GAUGAACGCUGGCGGCGUGCUUAACACAUGCAAGUCGAACGGAAAGGCCGAAGCUUGCUUCGGUACUCGAGUGGCGAACGGGUGAGUAACACGUGGGUGAUCUGCCCUGUACUUCGGGAUAAGCUUGGGAAACUGGGUCUAAUACCGGAUAUGACGAUCUCUUGGAUGGGGUUGUGGAAAGCUUUUGCGGUAUGGGAUGAGCUCGCGGCCUAUCAGCUUGUUGGUGGGGUAAUGGCCUACCAAGGCGUCGACGGGUAGCCGGCCUGAGAGGGUGUACGGCCACAUUGGGACUGAGAUACGGCCCAGACUCCUACGGGAGGCAGCAAUGGGGAAUAUUGCACAAUGGGCGCAAGCCUGAUGCAGCGACGCCGCGUGGGGGAUGACGGCCUUCGGGUUGUAAACUCCUUUCGCAAUCGAAGAAGCCUUUUGGUGACGGUAGGUUGAGAAGAAGCACCGGCUAACUACGUG
rnacentral:rRNA from 1 species